CUUUAUUGAUGACCUCGGAUUUGUGCCGUUGUGUCUGGGUCAUAGAAGCCCUGUGAUGGAACCUAAGAGCUAGAUUAAG